UAGCUAGUCCGGGGCCUCUCGGUUUUGUUUUGCUGUGCUUCCGGACCCCGAGACCACUGCCGCAACCAUGCUGUGCCAAAUCCUCGGCCAGGCCAAGAAGCACCCGAGCUUGAUCCCCCUCUUUGUGUUUAUUGGAGCUGGAGGUACUGGAGCAGCACUGUAUGUUAUGCGCCUGGCAUUGUUCAAUCCAGAUGUUUGUUGGGAUAAAAAGAAUAACCCAGAACCCUGGAACAAACUGGGUCCCAAUGAGCAAUACAAGUUCUACUCAGUGAAUGUAGAUUACAGCAAACUGAAGAAAGAAGGUCCAGACUUCUAAAUGAAAUGUUUCUAUAAAGCUGCUUAGAAUGAAGGUCUUCCAGAAGCCAUCCGCAGAAUUUUCCACUUAACCAGGAAUAUUCUCCCUCCUAAUGCACGAAAUCAUGUUGGUGUGUUAUGUUGGGGUCACACUGAUUAAUAAAUAUCUGAAACUUGAAAAAAAAAAAAA